AGCGAACGCUGGCGGCAGGCCUAACACAUGCAAGUCGAACGAAGUCUUCGGACUUAGUGGCGGACGGGUGAGUAACACGUGGGAACGUGCCUUUAGGUGCGGAAUAACUCAGGGAAACUUGUGCUAAUACCGAAUGUGCCCUUCGGGGGAAAGAUUUAUCGCCUUUGGAGUGGCCCUCGUCUGAUUAGCUAGUUGGUGAGGUAAAGGCUCCCUAAGGCUACGAUCAGUAGCUGGUCUGAGAGGAUGACCAGCCACAUUGGGACUGAGACACGGCCCGAACUCCUCCGGGAGGCAGCAGUGGUGAAUCUUGCGCAAUGGGCGAAAGCCUGACGCAGCCCUGCCGCGUAGAUGAUGAAGGUCUUGGGAUUGUAAAAUGCGUUCACCGGUGCAGAUAAUGACUGUAGCCGGAGAAGAAGCCCCGGCUAACUUCGUGCCAGCAGCCGCGGUAACAC
rnacentral:rRNA from 1 species